GACGAACGCUGGCGGCGUGCUUAACACAUGCAAGUCGAACGGAGUAAGGAGAGCUUGCUUUUCUUACUUAGUGGCGAACGGGUGAGUAACGCGUGAGGAACCUGCCUUUCAGAGGGGGACAACAGUUGGAAACGACUGCUAAUACCGCAUGAUACUUGCGAAUGGCAUCAUUUGCAAGUCAAAGAUUUAUCGCUGAAAGAUGGCCUCGCGUCUGAUUAGCUAGUUGGUGGGGUAACGGCCCACCAAGGCGACGAUCAGUAGCCGGACUGAGAGGUUGACCGGCCACAUUGGGACUGAGAUACGGCCCAGACUCCUACGGAGGCAGCAGUGGGGAAUAUUGGGCAAUGGGCGCAAGCCUGACCCAGCAACGCCGCGUGAAGGAAGAAGGCCUC
rnacentral:rRNA from 1 species